rnacentral:piRNA from 1 species
UCCAGUAGGAAAAACAGGAGAGAUUGGA